rnacentral:rRNA from 1 species
GACGAACGCUGGCGGCGUGCCUAAUACAUGCAAGUCGAACGGUCUUUUCUAUGGAAGCUUGCUUCCGCUGAGAAGAUAGUGGCGAACGGGUGAGUAACACGUGGGUAACCUGCCCAUAAGAGGGGGAUAACAUCCGGAAACGGGUGCUAAUACCGCGUAGUUUUCUUGAUCGCAUGAUCGAGAAAGGAAAGACGGCCUUUGUGCUGUCACUUAUGGAUGGACCCGCGGCGUAUUAGUUAGUUGGUGAGGUAACGGCUCACCAAGACGAUGAUACGUAGCCGACCUGAGAGGGUGUUCGGCCACAUUGGGACUGAGACACGGCCCAAACUCCUACGGGAGGCAGCAGUAGGGAAUCUUCCGCAAUGGACGAAAGUCUGACGGAGCAACGCCGCGUGAGUGAAGAAGGUUUUCGGAUCGUAAAACUCUGUUGUCAGAGAAGAACAAGUCGGAGAGUAACUGCUCCGGCCUUGACGGUAUCUGACCAGAAAGCCACGGCUAACUACGUGCCAGCCGCCGCGGUAAGAC